UACGGAGGAUCCAAGCGUUAUCCGGAUUUAUUGGGUUUAAAGGGUGCGUAGGUGGCCUAUUAAGUCAGGGGUGAAAGACGGUAGCUUAACUAUCGCAGUGCCUUUGAUACUGAUGGGCUUGAAUACAGUUGAAGUGGGCGGAAUGUGACAAGUAGCGGUGAAAUGCAUAGAUAUGUCACAGAACACCGAUUGCGAAGGCAGCUCACUAAAGUGUGAUUGACACUGAGGCACGAAAGCGUGGGGAUCAAACAGG
rnacentral:rRNA from 1 species